CAGGCCCCCACCCCCUAACGGCCCCCAAUGUGUGAUGUUCCCUGCCUUGUGUCCAAGUGAUCUCAUUGUUCAAUUCCCACCUAUGAGUGAGAACAUGCAGCGUUUGGUUUUCUGUCCUUGUGAUAGUUUGCUGAGAAUGAUGGUUUCCAGCUUCAUCCACGUCCCUGCAAAGGACAUGAACUCAUCCUUUUUUAUGGCUGCAUAGUAUUCUAUGGUGUAUAUGUGCCAUAUUUUCUUAAUCCAGUCUGUCAUUGAUGGACAUUUGCAUUGGUUCCAAGUCUUUGCUAUUGUGAACAGUGCUGCAGUGAACAUACGUGUGCAUGUGUCUUUGUAGUAGCAUGAUUUAUAAUCCUUUGGGUAUAUACCCAGUAAUGGGAUAGCUGGGUCAAAUGGUAAUUCUAGUUCUAGAUCCUUGAGGAAUCGCCACACUGUCUUCCACAAUGGUUGAACUAAUUUACACUCCCACCAACAGUGUAAAAGCGUUCCUAUUUGGGGAAUGAAGGAUUUUUAACUAAGGAAGCUAUGAGAAUGAAAGACCAAUAACAGAAAAGUACAGGGUAGAGGAAAUGUGGGAGUUUAUCGUGGUUUGAGAGAAGAAAGUAUGAUGGGGUAUGAUGAGAGACGAAGGCAUAAAUGGAGGUAGAGGUCAGAUCACGGUGGCCUGCAAGGUCCUAUAUACAAGUAGUCAAAAGGGCACGACAGGUUUUUGAGUAGGGAAGCAUAGUGGCCUUGUAUCGUCUUGCACCCCUUCCUUUUUCCCCUUCUGGCCACAGUCCUGCCCUUCAGACUGUCUGGUUCAAAAUGGAGCUGCCACCUUUUUACAGGCCCCACCUUCCUGGUCACAGUGAUUGGCCUGGGAGUGGGUGCCUGAUUUGGCUCGAUCAAAAUGAGCUGUUUCCUGGGACAUUUGAACUAAAGACCUGCAAGAUCUAGUCUCAGUUCGUCUCAAAGCUGCAUGUUGUCCAGUGUAACCAUAGGAACUGCCGAGAUUGUACGAGAUCAUGGGCUCUGGAAUCAGACAGUGUGAAUUCCAAUCCCUGCUCUAUUACAUAUCCAUUAUGAAACACUGAACAAACCACUUAAUCUCUUACAGGCUCAGCUUUCUCAUCACUGAACUGGAGAUACAGGUAAUAGUAAUAUCUACCCCUGGAGGUAUUUUUAAAUACUUCCACAGUACCUGACACGUGGUAAGUUUUAACAAUGCUGAUGGAGGAAACAUUUGGAUGUUUCCAGCCAAAUUGGAGGAAUCAACGAGUCUUGUCUACUGAUUAGAUAUAGAGGUCGGAAGAUGGAGGAUGGAGGUGAAGCCAAGAUGGCUCUAGGUAUCUGGCCUGAGCAAGAGAACUGACAACAGUUGGUAUUUGGGUUUGACUUGAAGGCAACUGUGGGCCAUCUAGAUGGAGAGAGGUACAGUGGCAUCUUGGAAUUUCUAAAAUAAAAUACAUAUGUAAUAUCUUUUAAAAGUCACCUGCCUGGAAAUGGGGACAAAUCCUUUACUUGGUGAUUUAUGUACAUUUGAUUGUCACAUCCACCUCACAAAGCAGGUAUUAUUAUCAUGCCCAUUUUAUAGAAGAAAAACAGGUUCAGAGAAGGUAAGUAACAUUCCCAAAUGGUAGAGCUUGUGAGUCUCAGAGGCAGGAUUUGAACCCGGGCCUGUCUGACCGGAGACCCAUCCUCUUUAUUAUAGAGUGUUUCUCCUGUGUUGCCUGGAAGUGUGAGUUAAAGCUGAGAGCAUGUGCCACGUGCUCCAGCCCUAACUCUUGUCAUUUAUUAUAUUGGACAAAUUACUUAUUUAUGCCUCAGUUUUGAUGUUAGAAGUGGAGGUAAUAAUAGGACUUUCUUCCUAGGAGUUCAUGAAAAUUUAAUAGUUAAUAUGUCCAGAGUGCAUAGAACAUGGUCUAUCACAUACUAAUGACAUCAUUAAAUGGGACAGGAUGGAGCCUUAUUUAUUUAUUUAUUUAAUUUGUGAGACAAGGUCUCACUCUGUUGCCCACGCUGGAGUACAGUGGCACAGUCUUGGCUCACUGCAGCCUCGACCUUCCCCAGGCUCAAGUGAUCCUCCCACCUCAGCCUCCUGAGUAGCUGGGACUACAGGCAAGCACCACCAUGCCUGGCUAAUUUUUGUACUUUUUGUAAACACAGGGUUUUGCCAUGUUGUCCAGGCUGGUCUCAAGCUCCUGGGCUCAAGCAAUCUGCCCACCUCGGCCUCCCAAAGUGUUGGGAUUACAGGAGUGAGCCACCACAUCUGGCCCAGGGUGGGACUUUAAACAGAAAAAGGACGUGAGCAUGGAGGUCUGGCCUGAGCAGGAGUGAACAAUGCUACAUUGAGGAGAGAACAUUAAAGGAGACCCAGCUCUUGGAGUGAGGCCUUAAGCUUCGGGAGUUGAAACAAUGACCUCCCAUUAAAACCCUUGGAGUCACAGGGAGAAACAGAUUUCUAGAAUUGGACCUAAAUCUGUUCAUUCUUAUUUUUCCUAUUUUUGGCUACCUGAAGAAACCAACAAUAUUUGUUCCCUGGGUAUUUUGAAGUUCACCAUAAAUAAUACCACUCGGUUUAGAAAACUGUGUAUUCAGUUCCUCAGAGAAUGGAUUAUCUAAUUACGUGUCUGUGUUUACAUGGAACAGGUAGUCCAAUCCACGAAAGUGUGAGAACCAUGAGCCUAGUCUCGACCUCAGGAGUUGCCUGAGGAAACUGAUGCUAAAAAUCCAAGUUGCAAAUCAAAAUAUUAGAAAAAUCAAGCCAUGCUCUAGACUUGGAAGCCCGACACUUAGAUCAUCUCUCUCUGAGCAGAGCCAGCUGUUGGCCCCCAUAGGUGAGUGUCAGUGACAUUCUGACACAGGAAAGGUCAACAGGUGCCCCAGGACCACAUCCACCUGGUUAGAAGCUCUGCUGGGUUUGGUCUGGGAGAGACCCGCUGCCUCAAGAGAAUUUGCUACAGGGAAAGCCCCCUGGGUAACCAUGAAGAUGUGAUAUGUUAUGUCAGCAUGAAGAUAGACGAUAUUGUAGAAGACCUUAUGGGGUUUGUAAUGGGGAAAGUGGGCAGGGGAGGUGGGAAUAAAUAUUGCAACAAAGUAUCUUUUCUCUCUUGUGUGUGUGGAAAUGUGCUCUUUGGGGCAUUAAAAUCCUACCAGUGUACCCCCAUGCCCUUCCAAGAUGAGCUCAGGGAGAUGUAUUUUUGUGUUGCAGUCAACAGGCUGAUAAUCAUCAUCAUGGAUCAUGUACUUAAGGCUGAAAAACAGCAGCCUUCUCUAUCCCAUCAUAGAAAGGGCAUUUUGAACCACAAAGGCUAUGUCCCUGGUAAUAAACAUCAGAAAUAACCAUUUGAAUAAAUUACAUGUGUGUAGCAUGUGAUUUUAUAGAAUGCUUCCACAUGUGUUACUAUCUCAUUUAAUUCCAUAUUUGUACAAAUAUGUUAUACACUUGGGUAAUUCUCUGAAUUCUCUGCAUUUCACGCAUUUGGAGUAGUGGCAGGGAUGUAGUGGCACUCAGAUGACAUCAGGGCCUGUUUGCUUUAUGGCAGUAAUGAGCAUUUGUAGGGCAUUUCACAGUUUAUGUAGAGCUUAAAUACAUUUAUUAGACCUCAUUUGAUCCUCACAGUAACUUUAUGAGGUAAGAUGGAUAUUGUUCCUAUCAUAGACUUUAAUGCAUAAUAUUAACUGUCUUUGCUUCUCUGCAUCUAACUCUAGACUGCAAGUUCCACAAGGAUUAUAGCUUUUCGAUAUAUUUUUCACUGUUUCAUCACAGUGCUCAGUAACUCUUUGUUUAAUUGACUUUGAUAGUAUUAUAAUUGCCCCCAUAUUUGUGAUCAAUGAAGAAACUGAGGCUUUCAGAAGGAUUUAUCUUGCCCAAGGUCACACAACUGGGAGUGAAAGCCCUUGAAUUCACAUCUUGUCACUGUCACUGCCUGUCCAAAUGGUCACAAAUUGAGGCUAUCUGGCUGGUAAGAAGUCCCUUUAUCCUGCUAUAAUUUUCUUGGUGGCUCUGUGUCAUUAUGCUGAACUCAGUUUCCCCUCAAGCAGGUGAAACUGCAGAUGGCAUAGGGCACAUAGCUGCAGACCUUGCUCAGACUGGACUCUGAAAGAUUUGGAACCUUAGGCAGAGAGGUGGAAAGGAGUUGGGGAGGCAGUGGCAAUGAUUUGAAAACUAUAACCAAUUUUCUCUCUCCUAGGAGUUGGAGACUUGGAAUCCCCUUUGGUGCAGAAACUAUUCCUUCAUGAGAAGAAGUCCUUAAAUAGGCUCUUUAGACAGGAGGCCACAUGUUGAAGGCAGCAGGGUCACAAGAUGGAAGAACCAGGGUCCCAGUAUCAUCGCUCCCUGCUUCAAGCUGCCAGGGGCAGCCUAACCCACAUGGCAUUAUGACAUAAGAAACAAAGUAACUAUUGUUUUAUUAAAUCAAUGAGAUAUUGGGCUUCUUGUUAUAGCAACUAGUAUAAAUUGCCCUGACUGAUACAUUAUGGAUUUAGAGUGCACUGUACUACAACUGUUUGUUGUAUUUUCAAAAUUGUGGUAUAACUGACUUACAAUAAACUUCAUAUAUUUAAA
rnacentral:lncRNA from 1 species